UACGGAGGGUGCAAGCGUUAUCCGGAUUCACUGGGUUUAAAGGGUGCGUAGGUGGGUUGGUAAGUCAGUGGUGAAAUCUCCGAGCUUAACUUGGAAACUGCCAUUGAUACUAUUAAUCUUGAAUAUUGUGGAGGUCAGCGGAAUAUGUCAUGUAGCGGUGAAAUGCAUAGAUAUGACCCGGAACACCGAUUGCGAAGGCAGCCCACUAAGCAACGAUUGACGCUGAGGCACGAAAGCGUGGGGAUCAAACAGG
rnacentral:rRNA from 1 species